UACGCGAAGACCUUACCUGGAGCUCGAAGCACAGUGGACCGGGGUACAAAUAUCCCUAUUUCGCAAGAACUGCUGUGGAGGUGCUGCAUGGCUGUCGUCAGCUCGUGUCGUGAGAUGUUGGGUUAAGUCCCGCAACGAGCGCAACCCUUAUCGUUAGUUGCCAUCGGGUCAAGCCGGGCACUCUAGCGAAACCGCCUCGGAUAACGGGGAGGAAGGUGGGGAUGACGUCAAGUCCUCAUGGCCUUUAUGUCCAGGGCUACACACUUGCUACAAUGGUCGGUACAAACCGUCGCAAAUCCACGAGGGGGAGCUAAUCGUAAAAAGCCUACCUCAUUUCAGAUUGGAGUCUGCAACUCGACUCCAUGAAAGCUGGAAUCGCUAGUAAUCACAUAUCGCCACGCUGCGCGUGAAUACGAUCCCGGGUCUUGUACACACCG
rnacentral:rRNA from 1 species